UAUAGAAAAUUCAUCAUUAUGAUUUUAAUAUUUAUAAUAUUAUAAUAAUGGUGUGCAUUUUUUCUAUAAAAGGACAUUGUAAUCUAUUAACAUAAUUAUAUUUAUCAUAAGAUCAAUUCGCGAAAGUUUAUUCAAAUUAUUUUGUUUUUUCAAAUUAAUAUCGAAUAAAUGCAUUUGAUUUGAUAAAGUGUUGAUAGAUUUAUUAUAUAUAGUGCUUAAAUAUUUAUAUUUUAUAAUAGCAUAUUAAUCAUUGAUUUUUAUGUUCAUUAUAUGCACUUAUAUGAUUAACAAUGCGAAAGAUUCAGGAGACCUUCGGGACCCGUCUUGAAACACGGACCAAGGAGUCUAACAUAUUUGCAAGUUAUUGGGUAUUAAAACCUAAUAGCGAAAUUAACAUAACUAUUAUAAUGGGAUUAGUUUUUAGCCUAUUUAUAGUCUAUUAAUUCAAUCCCGGGGCGUUCUAUCAGUUAUACAUAAUAAUAUUUAUAUUAUUUAUGCCUCUAACUAGAGCGUACCUUGAGCAUAU
rnacentral:rRNA from 1 species